GACGUAGGGCGCGAGCGUUGUCCGGAUUUAUUGGGCGUAAAGAGCUCGUAGGCGGUCUGUCGCGUCGGAUGUGAAAAUCCAGGGCUUAACCCUGGGCCUGCAUUCGAUACGGGCAGACUAGAGUUCGGUAGGGGAGACUGGAAUUCCUGGUGUAGCGGUGAAAUGCGCAGAUAUCAGGAGGAACACCUAUGGCGAAGGCAGCUCGCUGGGACGGCACUGACGCUGAGACGCGAAAGCGUGGGGAGCGAACAGG
rnacentral:rRNA from 1 species